rnacentral:rRNA from 1 species
GGCCCGGUAUUUUGACCGUGCGAAGGUAGCGCAAUCACUUGUCUUUUAAAUGGGGACCUGUAUGAAUGGCAUAACGAGGGCUUGACUGUCUCCUCUUUCAAGUCAAUGAAAUUGAUCUCCCCGUGCAGAAGCGGGGAUAAGCACAUAAGACGAGAAGACCCUAUGGAGCUUUAGACACUAAAGCAGAUCAGUACUAAUACCCUCAACAACAGGAUGCAAAUUCAACUGGACCCUGCCCUAAUGUCUUUGGUUGGGGCGACCGCGGAGAAAUAAAAAACCCCCGCAAGGACCGAAUGUACCACAUUCACAACCAAGAGCGACAGCUCUAAUUAACAGAACUUCUGACUAGUAAGAUCCGGCAACGCCGAUCAAUGAACCGAGUUACCCUAGGGAUAACAGCGCAAUCUCCUCUUAGAGUCCAUAUCGACGAGGGGGUUUACGACCUCGAUGUUGGAUCAGGACAUCCUAAUGGUGCAGCCGCUAUUAAGGG